rnacentral:rRNA from 1 species
GACGAACGCUGGCGGCGUGCUUAACACAUGCAAGUCGAACGGAAAGGCCCUGCUUUUGUGGGGUGCUCGAGUGGCGAACGGGUGAGUAGCACGUGAGUAACCUGCCCUUGACUUUGGGAUAACUUCAGGAAACUGGGGCUAAUACCGGAUAGGAGCUCCUGCUGCAUGGUGGGGGUUGGAAAGUUUCGGCGGUUGGGGAUGGACUCGCGGCUUAUCAGCUUGUUGGUGGGGUAGUGGCUUACCAAGGCUUUGACGGGUAGCCCGCCUGAGAGGGUGACCGGCCACAUGGGGACUGAGAUACGGACCAGACUCCUACGGGAGACAGAAGUGGGGAAUAUUGCACAAUGGGCGGAAGCCUGAUGCAGCAACGCCGCGGGCGGGAUGACGGCCUUCGGGUUGUAAACCGCUUUCGCUUGUGACGAAGCGGUAGUGACGGUAAUGGGUAAAGAAGCACCGGCUAACUACGUG